GAUGAACGCUGGCGGCGUGCUUAACACAUGCAAGUCGAACGAACAGGCCCUGCUUUUGUUGGUUGCUCGAUUGGCGAACAGGUGUGUAACACGCGAGUAUCCUCCCCUUGUCUUUGGGGUAACUUUACGGAACUGGGGCUCAUAUCCGGUAUAAGCUCCUGCUGCAUGUUGUGGGUUGGAAAGUUUCGGCGGUUGUGGAUGGACUCGCUGGUUAUCCGCUUGUUGGUGGGGUAGUGGCUUACCAAGGCUUUGACGGGUAGCCGGCCUGAGAGGGUUACCGGCGACAAGGGGACUGAGAUACGGAGCAGACUCGUACGGGAGGCAGCAGUGGGGAAUAUGGCACAAUGGGCGGAAGCCUGAUGUAGCAACGCCGCGUGCGGGAUGACGGCCUACGGGUGGUAAACCGAUGUCGAAUGAGACGAAGCGUGAGUGACGGUAAUGGGUAAGGAAGCACCGGCUAACUACGUG
rnacentral:rRNA from 1 species